AGCGAACGCUGGCGGCAGGCCUAACACAUGCAAGUCGAACGAACUCUUCGGAGUUAGUGGCGGACGGGUGUGUAACACGUUGGAACGUGCCUUUAGGUUCGGAAUAACUCAGGUAAACUUGUGCUAAUACCGGAUGUGCCCUUCGGUGGAAUGAUUUAUCGCCUUUUGAGCGGCCCUCUUCUGAUUAGCUUGUUGGUGAGGUAAAGGCUCACCAAGGCGACGAUCAGUAUCUGGUAUGAGAGGAUGAUCAGCCACAUUGGGACUGAGACACGGCACAAACUACUACGGGAGGGAGCAGAGGGGAAUCUAGCGAAAUGGGAGAAAGGCUGACGCAGCAAUGGCGCGUGAAUGAUGAAGGUAUUAGGAAAGUAAAAUUCUUUAAAAGGGGAAGAUAAUGACGGUACCAGGAGAAGAAGCCACGGCUAACUACGUG
rnacentral:rRNA from 1 species